GUGUUGCUCCCCAGGUGACCGGGGGCGCCACCGUCCGCCGCCGAAGACCCCCCUUCUCCCGCGCCCCCUCGCCGCCGCUGCCGCCGGCACUGCGCCGCGGUGGCGGCGGCCCCCCGCUGCCAAAUGAUGUCGGGGGCAGCUCCUCCCCUAGGUGGCGUCGGCGGCUCUCAAUCUCGUCUCUGGGGGCAGGAGCGGUGGCUCACUGGCGCAGGCAUGUUGGGGCGGCGGCCCCGGGGACGCGGUGGAGUGGUGGUGCGGCGCUCCGGUGGAUCUUCGGCGUGGAGGUCGCGGAUCUGGGGUCUGGCCCUCCCGUCAGGUGUGGUGCUUCACCGUGGUGGAGGUGCCCCUGCGGGGCGUCGAGUGCGCAUGAGCUUGGUAGUCGACGGUGGGGGUAGCUUGGCGCGGCGGGAAGGUGGAACUGGUGGAUGUCGACGAUGGGGAUUGUGUGCUAUGCAGUGCUUCCGAUCUGCUCGGAUUCGGAGGUGUGAUGGAGCUCCGGGCGAAAGUCUAGCACUGACCUUGGGUCGGUGCCGGCAACAGCGGCGCCAUGGCCAUGGUGUCGUUCCCCUUCUUGAAGGUGUUGCCGUGGUGCUCCAUUGCACGACUCUCCGGGAGAAAUCCCUAGCUUCGGAUUGUCGGAGCGGGCGAUGUCGGCGGCUACAUCGUUUCCUUCUUUGAGGCAUCGCCUUGGAGAGUCAGCAUGUUGCAGUUUGCAUGGAUCUCUUCGUCAUUGGGGACAGUGGACGUCGGGGCGGCGGCUCCGGAUGGUUUCUGGUUGUACGUCGAGAUGGCGAUCUCGGGAACAAUGUGAGUGGCAGCUCUAUGAGGUGGGGCUCUAUCUCGACAUUGGUUGGGUGGCAUCCUUGUCCCGCUUGGGCGGUAGGGGUGUCGGCUCGGUCGAUGUGCCCUAGUGGGGGCGGUCUGACUGUACGUCGGGGCGGCGGCCCCGGAUGUGGUGUGACGUUUGUGGUCUGCGAGCGGUUGCCCUUAGCAGCGUGGGCUGCGGGCAGCUGGGUUGUGCGGCGUUGCUGCUCGAGGGGAGCGGUGGUGUGUCGGGGCGGCGGCCCCGGAAGGCGAUACCGGUUGAUUGCGCUGGGCGCGACAGAGCGGUGGAUGUCGGGGCGGCGGCCCCGAGAGAAUCUGUGGCGACCAGACUUCUGUGGCAACGAUGAUGGUGGGAGCGAUGUCAGCGACGUGGCAAUGGUUGCGGUAGUCGGCUCUUCUCCGGCGUGUCCACGGUUUUGCCUCGGUUUGCUUGUUGUUAUGGAGUCGAAGCUGCGGCGGCGGGGCCCUGUGGUGUACGAUGACUGGCUGCAGGUGGCCCGUUCGGUGAUCUUUCCUGGCGCCAGCCGUGCCUGGUUUUUGUUUUUCUGAGUUCUUCGUCUGAGUUGGAGCUGCGUUGUCUGGCCGCAGGUUGACUUGUCGUCGAUAUGGGUGGGCUUUGCCCUGUGUGUUUCAGUCUAUGGGAGUGGGUUUGGCCCCUGUUGUUUCGGUUUUUGCCCGAUUUUCCAGAAUUAACUGGGCAAUUCUCUUCUUCUUAAUUAAUAGAUGAGGCAAUCUUUGCCUCCGUUUGAAAAAAAAAUGAUGAGAUUCUGGUCUUGCUCGUCGAGGACCCAAUCACAGGGCAGUCUGUCAGCUGCUGCAAUUCAUUAGGAAAAGUUCAAGUUUCCUAUUAGAUUUAGUUCUAUUGGAAAAGGGCCGCCCUCACCGCGCUUAUCCCCGUCGCCGGAGGGCCGGCGUGCAGCGGUUGGGCCACAGCCGACACUUCCGGUCGUGCCCUACCACUGCUCAAUCUUCUCGCCUAACCCCUUCCUCCCCGAUCUGCUACUGAUGUACCCCAACUACCACUGGAGCUUCAGGGAGCACUCCCCCGUCCAAGUUGAGCAUUGGGCGCCGUCCGAGUAGAGCACUGCACCCCGUCCAAGUCCCCAUCUAAUGUUGAACGUUCAAUUUUGUCAUGUUGAAUAAUAUAGCGCUGAGCACCCUACAAUUAUUUUUGCUUGAGCGCUGAACAAACAGUGGAGCCUGCUGGAGGAGUCACGGGGUCGAGGACCUCCUGCUCAACAGUACAACUUCUUGUUUUGUGGCCGAUCGCUCAAGGAGCUGAGUGCAGGCUACAGUAAGUACAUGAUUACUAAUAUUAGGAUAUGUAUGUGGUCCCAGUAAGUACAUGAGUAUUAAUUAGCAAGUUUGGUUGCUUCUGAAAACUGAAAAAUGUCAGCUUGUACUGAUGCAUUCCAAAAUUGUGUUGUGUGUUUUCAAGAAAAAACAUUUGUCGGGUUUUUGAUGGCCAAGUAUUAUUGAUAUGGAGAUGAAUAACUAUGCGGAUGCGCUCCUAUUGUUUUUCUCGAAAAAAACAAGAUGCCAUGUUUACACAUCCAUAUUUAAUUUUGGAAGGUUCACACAUCCAUAUUAAAGAGAUUCAUCGGACAUAAUUUUGUAAGAUCAGAAAAAGCAAUUGCUGAGUACAUCACAGCAGCUCUUCGAUGCAAAAAGGAUGGCUCUUCUCAAGUCAGCAGCUAACCAAACUAGCGACUUGAGGGUAGCUCGGUCAAAUAUGGCAGCUGUGUAGUAAACAGUUUCAGUUGAGAAAUCAGCAAUAAUCAGCAAGCGACAUGCUCAGUCCAACCCCGUGGCUUCAGGGUGGCCGAGUUCGUCGCGACCAUCAGUUCGGAGACCUGCGUCACUGCGCAUGUCGCUACCAUGGCCCCCUGUGUUACUGCGUGCUCUAUCAACAGCCUCCUGCACAAGGAAAAGCAACAGGAGUAGAGGCGUCUGAGAUGCUCUGUUCUAGUGAGGUGGCUGAUUAUGUUUGUUAGUUUGUAAUACUUUGGCCGCAGUGUACUUAUGUAUGUUUUUCUGGCCGGAGCACGAUCAGAGCUUAUGUCAGUAUGAACUUUGACUGUGAUGGUACUACAAACUCUAUAAAAACACCAGCAAUCCAUUUUUACUGGUACUUACCUUUUAUACAAUUCACAUGGAUUGUGCCCCUAUUACCAACUGUGGUACAAAAAUGCACUGUGCUCACCAUUUUAUUUUAGUUCAUCAGUUUGUAAUACUUUAAAGAGAGGAGGUAAAAGUGAA